UACAGAGGUCUCAAGCGUUGUUCGGAUUCAUUGGGCGUAAAGGGUGCGUAGGCGGCGCGGUAAGUCGGGUGUGAAAUCUUGGAGCUUAACUCCGAAACUGCAUCCGAUACUGCCGUGCUUGAGGACUGGAGAGGAGACUGGAAUUUACGGUGUAGCGGUGAAAUGCGUAGAUAUCGUAAGGAAGACCAGUGGCGAAGGCGGGUCUCUGGACAGUUCCUGACGCUGAGGCACGAAGGUCAGGGGAGCAAACGGG
rnacentral:rRNA from 1 species